rnacentral:lncRNA from 1 species
AGAGAGAGAGCAGGAACACAAGCAGGGGGAGUGGGAGAGGGAGAGGGAGAAGCAGGCCUCCCGCUGAGCAGAGAGCCUGAUGUGGGGCUCGAUCCCAGGACCCUGGGAUCAUGACCUGAGCCGAAGGCAGACGCUUAACGACUGAGCCACCCAGGUGCCCUAGCUCAGGCAUUCUUGCCCUUCACUGAAUUCUCCAGCAGCAGCUCCAAGAUACUGUCACUUUGGGCUGAAGGACAGAUUAUGAAUGGGGGGAGGCAGGCCAGGGGCUUCUCUUGAGACUAUGUUUCUAUUACAAACUCAUUACUUUGCACUUAGUUGUAGGUUUAUUGAGUGAGGUUUGGGGGAGUCGAAGUGAUGGGGUCCCCAGGACCCCUCAAGCCCCUGCCUGAUGCUUGGUGUCCCCACAGUUUCUAGUCCUUCUUUUCCGUUCUAGGUUAAGGACAAAAUCCUGGCACCAAAGUAGAACACAGCACAGGCUCCUUUUUCUCUUCCUGAGUGGGUGUCUCAGAAGAUGUGGGCUCAGCUGAUUUGAGUUCAACUAAAAGACCGUCAUCACCUUCCUGGAGUCUGGAGGCUGAGCAAGGCAGGGGAUCAGUCCAGCUGCUUCGAAACAGAGGAUGGCGACUCAUUAGUGGGUCAAGAAAUCAAUUUAGUAGCUAAUGAGCUGCAUUUCGAAAACCAAGUAGAAAUGAUCAGAGUGCGUCGCAAGUCCUAGGGGGCUUAGCCACCACGGAGGAGGCCCAGCUUUUGAUACAGCUGGAGCCACACCCGGCGAACAAGAUGGCUGCAGAGAGACGGGCCCAUUCCCUGAGCCCGUGAGGGUCG